CCGAUUAUUUGAUGAUCGAGCGGUUCAACACAAAUCAAAAAAACUUUUUCAUUACACAAAAUAUAUCUACGCUCCUCCUUCCACAUUUCAACAUUCUCUUUUCCAAAAAAAUACCAUAGCCUUGCUCGUUUUCUCCUCUGUUCCAAGAUUAGAAGAUCUUCUAUACCUCAUCUCCUCCUUCUUCUGUUUCAAUUUUCAGAAAAUCCGCCUACCAUUACUGCAAAAUUUUCGCAACUUUCAGUUCAAAUCAAGAAAAGGUAAGACUUGUAAAAUCUUUUUCCAUAUUCCUUCCUAUUUUGCCUCAUAAAUGCCUUCAAUUUCAGUUCAAAUCUAGAUUUUCAAGUACAAAUUUGCCUAUAAAUAACGAGGGGAAUUCGAUCAAAGAUUCAAUUGAAGAACGGGACUCAAAAACAUAUUAGGAAACAAGCUAAAACAUAUACAAAAGGAAAAAUCACAUCAAAACUGAAGACAGAUCCAAAAAAAAUACACAUCAAAGAAUCCAUUUAUUUCAAAAAAAAUCACUAUCUUUUAUUUUUGAUUUUGAAUUCAAGUUUGAAAAGGAGUUCGAAGUGAAAUUCUUGACGAAAAUCCCUUAUUUUGCUGCUCCACACAAGGGUCUUGAGUCGGUUAUUGAUGAGUUGCUUCCUAAUGCUGAAACGAGAAUGUGUGCAAGACUCAUUUGGGCAAACUUACAAAAAAAUGGAGAGGUGAAGAUAAGAGGAAAACAUUUUGGAGGUGUGUCAAAGCUAGUUUUGAGAUGAGUUUGAAUAUUUGGGAAACUUAGUGAAAGAAUAUAUGAGCCAUUGCUUAUCUAUGACAAAGAAUAUUGGUGUAGGUCUUUGUUUAGUAAAAGAACCAAGUGUGAUGUGGUAAAAAAUAAUAUGUGUGAAAUAUUUAAUUCUUGAAUUGUUAAUCCUAGGCUUAUAUCUCUGAUCA